CUCGGGUCGGGAGAUGGGGCAGGGCUAGCAGGCGAGACUUCCGGCGACUCGGGCCGACCCCGGGGCGGCAUUGGCUCCCUCCAAGCUUCCGCUUCCCUGCAGGCCCGCCCCCUCAAAAAUCCCAGAGGCCACCAGCUUCCCCCUCCUCCCCUCGCCUGGCCCCCUCCCACCCCGCCUCUUAUGUACAAAUGGGCAAACUGAGGCCCAGAGGACCUGUAACGGCCCAUGGCCAGUCAGAGGUGGGCGCCUCAUCCAAGCCUGCCUCCAGGCUCCCCUUUUCCUUGAUGCUUCUAGGUCUUACUCUACAGCUGUAUCCGUUCCUCCCCAGCCAGACCGACCACGCAGCCUAGUCUGGCCUUGUCUGCAGCAUUCUGCACCCACAGACCCCCAUCUCUCCACUAAGAGGAGGGGUGACUCAGUAUCUGCUACCCAGAACCCUUUAGUGUUUUGUUUUUUUAAUUUACACGAUUGCAGUCAGGGUGUGCAUCCUGCUGCUGCUGCUUUCUUCCCUCUACGUCAUUCACAGGGACUUAUUUCCACUGAGCGUCUCAUCAGACUUUCAGGAGAGAGAAGGAAAAACUGCAAGACAGUCCUCUUCUAGGUCUUCUCAACCCUGGCCAGUUUGAAGUAGCAGAGAAGAAGACAGCAUCUUUCAGCUGCUGGCUUGGCCCAGUUGGGGGCACAGUCUGGAUUGGAACCUGGGACCCCUGGCUCCAAAUGCAAAGUUUCUUUCACUGUAUCUUGCCGAGGAGACGACACCCUCUGAGAGACAAAGGCAAAAAUUGGAACGGAGAACGAGGGAGAAGGCAAUGGAGAGAGAAGGAUGAGCAAGGGGAGGGGAUGUAUGGCGAGGUUGCCCAGCAGAAGGGUAAACCGGGCCGCUGGUAGGGCACAUGCGCUCUGCUGGGCCCAGCUGGUUCUCCCUCCCCUUUGACCCGGAGCUAGUUCCAGGCCCCGCCCGAUGCUUCAGAGCUGCAACUCCCCCCGUCCCGGCCAAUAUGGACUCAUUCUCUAGAGCAGCCCUCAGCAGGACCUGCCGGAAGUGCUCGGGGCUCUCCAGCUCAGCCUCCCCCAGGUCUGACACCUACUUCCGUUUCCUCCUCCCCUCUCAGAAGGCUGCGUGGGCGCUUUCGCAGCUGCUCUAGGACACCCGGAGGUCUCUCACAUCUUGGUGGUUUCCUGGCCUAGAAUUGGCGUCUGAUAACCGCUGCUUGAAUGGAAUAGAAGGGCCUGGUGUUAGGAGGUGGGGGAGGUCAAUUUCCUGGACCAUCAGCGCCUAGAGAGGGGGGGGGGGCGGCGCGCAGAGUCUGAGUUACCCAUCGUACACAUGGGGAAACUGAGGGCUUAGGAUCACAGAAUAUCCAAUAGGGACCGGAGGAGACAUCAACCACAGCCCCCUCAUUAGAAGGAAGAGACUGAGGCCCAGAACAGUUACAAGGACCCUUUAGACAAUAUCUGGCCCAAACCCCUGAUUUUUCCCCGGAAGGGACCAAAUGCAGAAAGAUAUAAUGUUAGAUGAUAGUGGAUAACCUAUAUCAAAGUGCUUGCUGGCCUCGGGAGGGGGGAGGUAAGGGAGGGGGGGAGAAAAAUUUGGAACGGAAAAAAAUAUCUUUACAUUGUUAAUAAGAAUGUAUGCCUCCCCCCCAUUUGAUGGAGCUGCCUUAUUAUCCAAAAGUAUUUUAUGAAACUCUGGAUUAAUAGGAGCAAAAUGCCCAGCUAGCUAGUCUGGUGACUUCUUUCCCCAGGAUAGUAAUUAAGACUUCCUCUUCCUUGCCAAACCCUUUAUGGAAUUAUAUAAUCUUAUCAUAGUGUUUCUGUAUUUCCUCUAUACUUGUUAUAACUGAAAUUGUAAAAACUGCUUUGCAUCACAGCCAUUCUUGUUAUGGUAUUCGCUUUGGGGUUGAUUUGUAUCAUGCUAAUGAAACUGAUAACACCCUGUAACCAGUGAGCAAAGAAACCUUAUAUACCCUUAGAAAGAGGGAGUCUUCAGGUCUCUGACACUUGACACUUAUUAGCUGUGUGACUCUGGGCAAGUCACUUAACCCUCAUUGCCCCACAAAAAAAGAAAGAGGUCCUUUGGAAGGGGUCUCCCCAUGAUUCAUGCUUGCUUAUUCUUGGGACAA